rnacentral:rRNA from 1 species
UGGCGGACGGGUGAGUAAUGUCUGGGAAACUGCCCGAUGGAGGGGGAUAACUACUGGAAACGGUAGCUAAUACCGCAUAACGUCGCAAGACCAAAGAGGGGGACCUUAGGGCCUCCUGCCAUCGGAUGUGCCCAGAUGGGAUUAGCUAGUAGGUGGGGUAAAGGCUCACCUAGGCGACGAUCCCUAGCUGGUCUGAGAGGAUGACCAGCCACACUGGAACUGAGACACGGUCCAG